rnacentral:rRNA from 1 species
AACGAACGCUGGCGGCAUGCCUAACACAUGCAAGUCGAACGAGAUCUUCGGGUCUAGUGGCGCACGGGUGCGUAACGCGUGGGAAUCUGCCCUUUGGUUCGGAAUAACAGUUGGAAACGACUGCUAAUACCGGAUGAUGACGAAAGUCCAAAGGUUUAUCGACAGAGGAUGAGCCCGCGUAGGAUUAGCUAGUUGGUGUGGUGAAGGCGCACCAAGGCGACGACCCUUAGCUGGUCUGAGAGGAUGAUCAGCCAAACUGGGACUGAGACACGGCACCGCCUCCUACGGGAGGCAGCAAUGGGGAAUAUUGGACAAUGGGCGAAAGCCUGAUCCAGCAAUGCCGCGUGAGUGAUGAAGGCCUUAGAGUUGUAAAGCUCUUUUACCCGGGAUGAUAAUGACAGUACCGGGAGAAUAAGCUCCGGCUAACUCCGUGCCGGCCGCCGCGGUAA